rnacentral:rRNA from 1 species
UACGAAGGGGGCUAGCGUUGCUCGGAAUCACUGGGCGUAAAGGGUGCGUAGGCGGGUCUUUAAGUCAGGGGUGAAAUCCUGUAGCUCAACUCCAGAACUGCCUUUGAUACUGAGGAUCUUGAGUUCGGGAGAGGUGAGUGGAACUGCGAGUGUAGAGGUGAAAUUCGUAGAUAUUCGCAAGAACACCAGUGGCGAAGGCGGCUCACUGGCCCGAUACUGACGCUGAGGCACGAAAGCGUGGGGAGCAAACGGG